UACGUAGGGGGCAAGCGUUGUCCGGAUUUAUUGGGCGUAAAGAGCGUGUAGGCGGUCAGGUAGGUCCGUUGUGAAAACUCGAGGCUCAACCUCGAGACGCCGAUGGAAACCAUCUGACUAGAGUCCGGAAGAGGAGAGUGGAAUUCCUGGUGGUAGCGGUGAAAUGACGCAGAUAUCAGGAAGAACACCCGUGGCUAAGGCGGCUCUCUAGUACGGUACUGACGCUGAGACGCGAAAGCGUGGGGAGCGAACAGG
rnacentral:rRNA from 1 species